rnacentral:rRNA from 1 species
UACGAAGGGUGCAAGCGUUAAUCGGAAUUACUGGGCGUAAAGCGCGCGUAGGCGGUUUGAUUAGUUGGAUGUGAAAGCCCAGGGCUCAACCUUGGAACUGCAUCCAAUACUGUCAGGCUAGAGUACGGGAGAGGGGGGUAGAAUUCCACGUGUAGCGGUGAAAUGCGUAGAGAUGUGGAGGAAUACCGGUGGCGAAGGCGGCCCCCUGGAUCGAUACUGACGCUGAGGUGCGAAAGCGUGGGGAGCAAAC